rnacentral:rRNA from 1 species
UACGAAGGGGCUAGCGUUGCUCGGAAUCACUGGGCGUAAAGCGCUCGUAGGCGGAUUGUUAAGUCGGGGUGAAAUCCUGGAGCUCAACUCCAGAACUGCCUUCGAUACUGGCAAUCUUGAGUCCGGGAGAGGUGAGUGGAACUCCGAGUGUAGAGGUGAAAUUCGUAGAUAUUGGAAGAACACCAGUGGCGAAGGCGGCU